AGAGGCGAGGGAAGCCUAGUGGUUGGGGAUCCCCAGUAAUAGAUGAGUUACAGCAAAGGGACGCUGAGAGCGUCACUGGGGACAAAGCGGACGUCACUCAAGAAGAGGGUUGUUAUGGCAUUUUGCAGCUGCUGCUUGACCUUGGGAGAAACGUUUCCUGUUGAUUACACAGCUGGCUUUUUAUGUGCCUGUCCUCUUGGUGAACAGCAGCGUCCCUUGUUUCUUUUCAUUCUGGGUUGAUUUUCAUUCUUUAAGUUCUGGGCAGGGCUUAUGUAAAAUUUGGGAACAGUUUCCAGGUUCAUUUAUUGAAAUAUUCAAGUUCAGUGCUGAUAGAUGCCUGCAGGUUUCACGUUAGAGAAAAUUCAGUUUUUAGAUUGAAAUGGACCUAGUGUGUUGGAAGUGAAUCUGGAGCUUCCAAUUCAUUGUCAUUGUAAAACAUUAGGAAGCAUAUUUUUUUGGAUGUGUACAUGGGGGAAGGGCUGUAAUAGAUUAUAGGAAGGUCCAAGAUUAAACAUGCUCUCUCUUCAAGAAAAGUGUCUCUGCAGUCUUUCUUGAAGCCAUAGAACAAUUACGAGCCUCCCAUGCCUAUUCAUGAGAAAAUUUAGAUGCCCUUAGUGAAAAAAAAACACCAAAUCUACCCACCCAACAGGUGUUGUCCAUACACUGAGGGCUGCAUUUCCACGUCGUUUUACUUCCAAACACAUCAAAAGAUUGCAUGACAUGGUAGAGUGUGGUAAUUAUUUCCCUGUCAUUAGAUGGGAAUCUUGGUGAUGGAUGGAAAACCUCUAUUGGCAAUUUAUAAGUUGUGUGACCAAUAUGUUUCUCUGGUAAUAGAUAAAUGUCUUGUUUUGUCAAAAUCCUAUUAUUCUGAUUUAUUUGGUUGACUUUUAAGUUGUCAAGGAAGUUCUAUGAUAGAUUGGGAUGAAUUCCAUUUUAUUUAUUAUUUAUUUAUAUUCAUGUUCAAGAAUUAAUGUGUUGCCUGAAAGCCACCUGGAGUGAAUACAUUAGUAUCUCUUCCUUUGGUCUGUACUUUUACAGUGAUUAGGGACCAUUCUGAAGGGCAACUGCAGUUACUAUGAGCUAGUAAUACAUCGUCUCAGCAAAACUGUGUUUUAAGCUAUAGGGAUGGAUCUUCUUGAGCCUCUUCUGAAAAGCAUCAGCAGAGUUCUCAUCAUUGUUGUGUCUUGAUCAUUGAUAUCAAGUGACAUUAUUUCUGGUACUGCAGAUUCAAAUUGAACAGAUAUAAUUCUUGCACUCUAGGGACCUCAUGUAAAAUGAAGACCACUCUCAGAGAACCAAUGCAUUAAAACUGCAAAUGCGUAAAGGAGUAAAUUUACAUUCAUCUGGUGUCAAAGUCUUGCAAAAUUAAACACGAAAGGAAAAAUUGAGGCUCAUAAAGUUGGCUUCUGAAAACCUGUUUCAUUUUUCAGUAUUUCUUUGUUUUAUUUUUUGUUUUGUUUUGGCUGCGCCUGUGGCACAUGGAAGUUCCAGGGCCAGGGUUUGAACCCAUGCCACAGCAACAACCUGAGCUGCUGCAGUGACAAUGCCAGAUCCUUAACCUGCUACACCACAAGGGAACGCCUGCUUUCCGUAUUUAAAAUAGACUAUGUGUAAUCCCUCCCCAGCCUCCUCUUAGAGAGUUUGGAUUGUUUACACCUCAACGUACAGAUGUGAUUUCCCCUGAGCAUAACCAGGCACAGAAAUUAUUCUCAGUCUCCCAGAAUAAAGGUAAAAUUAGAGGUAAUGCAUGUUGAGGUUAAUCUCUGCUUCAGUUAAUGACCGUGUAACAAUAUUUAUACCUACAUAUGAAUAUAUCAAGUUGACACCUGCACCAUUUUCUAUUUUAGGAAUUAAUGUAAAAUAUGCAUUAUGGGGGAAUUGUUAUAUGCACAUCUAUUCCGUGGUUUCUGUUACUCCUGAAGAGCAGCCUUCACUCAUGGGUUCGUUCAAACCAGGCAUGUCUAAUCUGAAUAGCCUAAGGAUGAAAACCAUCUGGUCCAAAUUUUUUUAUUACUUAUUAGUAGAGUAUGAGAGAAGUAUGAGGAUAAAACUAUGAUUUUUGAUUAAGAUAUAUUAAAGUUAGAAAAACAAGAAUGACCAUUUAAAAAUCAUAACUGAUUGAUUAGCUGUAGCUAUGGGCAAACUCUGGUAAUAUGCUCGUUUGCAGACAGUAUUUUGUCCAUGUACAGGAAAGUGUUUGGUUUGAAAUUGUGAGAUAAUAGGAAAUGCAUAUCCUGCACCAAGCUCCUGAGACCCUUGUAAAUUCCUGAGUGAUGAGAACACCUGUUGUUGUAAUAUUUGGUCUUUGACUCGGGUUGCUGACAUAGGGCUCCUAAACCCCUUGAAGUGUUCUGGGUGAUAGGAGUGUCUCUUGUUCUAAUGAGGUGACUGGCUCCUGGGGGCUGUUCCCUGGAAAGACCAAGCCAUGAUUCAAGGCUUGGAAUGCUCAUCCCCAGAGAAGGAACUAGAAACAGAAUUAAUAAUCUAUCAUGACUGUGCCUGUGUAUGACGCCUUCACAAAAAUCCCAAUGGUAGAGGGGCCAGGGAGCUUCCAGGUUGGUGAACAGAUCCAUAUACUGGGAGAGGAAUGCUGCCCAACUCCUGUGCUCAGGACCUUCUCGGACCUCGCCCUCUGUAACUUCAUCUGGCUCUUUAUCUGUGUCCUUUAUGGUAGGUUUUAAUAAACUGGUAAAAGUAAGUUUUCUUGUGUUUCUUCUCAGUGAGUUCCCUGGACUUUUCUUGGACUUCCUACUGUGGCUCAACAGGUUACAAUCCUGACUAGUAUCCAUGAGGAUGCCAGUUCAUUCCCUGGCCUUGCUCCGUGCGUUAACGAUCAGGCAUUGCCAUGAGCUGAGGUGUAGGUCACAGACUCAGCUCGGAUCCUGCAUGGCUGUGGCUGUGGCGUAGGCUGGCAGCUGCAGCUUCGAUUGAUCCCCUAACCUGGGAACUUGCCUAUGCUGCAGGUGUGGCCCCCAAAAGCAAAACAAAACAAAACAAACAAAUAAAACUCUUCUGGAAGAUCAUCCAACCCAAGGAGGGAGGACGUCACAGACACUUCUGAUGUGUAGCCAUGUCGGAUAGAGGCUGUGGUAGCUUGGGGAAGUAGUAUGCGCCGUUGGCAUCAAAAGCUGAGGAAGUGUCAUAGGCCUGAGCCCCUAACCAGUAGGAUCAGGUGGAUGGUGUCAGAAUUGAGUUCAACUGUGGGACACCCAGCUGGCGUUGCAGAAUCUCUUGGUGUCAGGGAAAAAAACACAGACAGCUGGGGUAAGACAUUCUGUGAGUGUGGAACAGUGUGUGCGUAGAGGAGAAACACAGGAGGCAGACCAGGGUUUUCCUACACAGGGCUUCAUAAAUAACCAAUGGAUGACGAACCAUACGGUGGUAGCUGAAUGGAAACCAGAGAGGUUGAUAUCAUGUUAAAACAGGCUUUGAUUAAAGUCAAAUUGCUAAAAAUGGAGUUUGCUGGUUUUGAGCUCACAGAGUCAUGCAGAAUAAAUAUUUUCCUCUUAACUGUCGUUGUUUUCUUGUUUUAUGUAAAACAGUCACUACCACUGGAGGAAAAAGAUUUGUCUUAUCGGAACACUCUCUUGGAUUUCCUAAUCUUUUCCUAAACUGCACUGCAGAGGUAGGAAAUCACAGUUCAGCCAUGAAUGCCAUAGGGACAAAGGGGCUAAAAAACUAAUAAUAAAAACAGUGGCCCCAAGAAGACCGUGUCCAUUCUUAUCUGUGCGUGGGGAGACUUCCAAGCCUUGUGACAUGUUUCUCCUCAGAGCAGCCUCAGUCAGAGGUUAAGCUCCCAGCCUACUUUCCCAAAGAAGGCCAAGCUGGCUAAAAUGGGAAUCCGCUGCUUCCUCCCUUCUUAUCUGAGAGAAAUUAUCUAUCUUCUAAAUCCCCCAUGUGGUUAGCUUAGAAAAAGUUACUGUACUUAUGCGAUCAUCAUCAGGUUUUUUUUUAAAGGCCAUUCUUGAAAAGAAGUUCAGCAGAUAAUUUAAGUUUGUGAUGUGAAACUCAUUUCUGCUAAUGAGAGACAAAUUGUUAUUUCUCUGCAGACUGUCUAUUCAUAGUAAUAGAAUAAUUCAAUCAAAUUAAGAACGUGAAGACAUUUUUCAUCAAGUCACAAUGAACAAUCAGCCAACACAAAGCACACUGUGUAUGAAACAGAUAAUGCAGUGAUGAAAUUUUUCUAUAGAAAGAAAAGGACUUCAAUUAAAAAAUGUAAACUCACUUAAUAGGCUACAUGCUACAGAAAGACAAAGUAGUUCAAGUUUUUGUUGUAAUCCACCGGGACUCUGUAAUGUUGAUCUAACUUAACUGCCAGAAUAAUUAUUUUCUUCAUUUUAGAGAUGAAAUUUGGAGGUCCUAAGACUGAGUAUGCUAGGCAAGGUCACAGAGCUACUUAGUGGCUGGGAUUGGAUUUGAAUUUAGCUUGGAUUCUAAAUGGUGUGUUUUUCCAAUUCACUGCAGCUGUGUCUCCUCCUUGAUGUUAAUUUUGCAUUUGCAUUGACCUGAAAAGCUUCAGUUCUAUUGAUCUUUCCUGACCCAAAUAUUUCAACACACUGUUUCUUCCUAAGUUUUCCUAUAAGCAUGAUGCUCAAAAUGUGAGACACAGUACCCCAGGCUCAAGUAACACUAGGGAAAUCAGUCUUUCACGCACUUUGAACUAUUGGUCUGUCUGCCUUUCUAUUACAUUUAGAACCAUAUUUCUUGUCUUAUUACAAGAAAACUCAUGUCCUGAAUACAGUGGUAGCAAUGACUGGAACUUAAGCCCCCCUACAAAGAAAGGAAACUCUAACUUGCUUCAGAAAGUGACCCAAUGUCCUUCUAGAGAAGCUAGUAAAAAGAAACCAGAAUUGGAUUUGUAACUUAACCUUGCCUUAAUGAUAGCAUUGCCUCUCUUCUUAUCUUCUGUUAAUGUUUCUGUGCAUUUAGCAUGCUGGGAACUCUUCAUGGGCAUUGUACUUCAUCAUUCUUGCCCCUGUUUGAACUUGGGCGAGAAGACUGUAUAGUCACCUCAUUUGCUAGCCAAAAUUUUUGAAGUUCUAUCUCGGUAAGAUUGAAAUGGAAACGGGAAAUUUUACCAUUUGCACAGCAAGCAUCUGAUUACUGUGGACCAACCAGGUAGUUAGCUCCCUUUAAGGGAUGUUAAAACACCUUCCAGGUAAUGAAACAUCACUGAAGACGUGAUAAGAUUUUUUAUAAUGGAUACUUGGAUAAACCACUUCAAAAGGAAAAGGAAAGACCAUUCAUUUUUUAGGAGAGUUAAAUCAUUGUACAUGAUACUGUAAUGAUGGAUACAUGACCUUAUGCAUUGGUCAAAACCCAUUGAACCGCGCAACACAAAUAGUGAAUGCCAGUGUAACCUUAUAAUAGUCAUGUACCAAUAUUCAUUCAUCAGUCAUAAGAGAUGUACCAGUCAAUGUAAGAUGUUAAUAGUAGGAGAAACUGUGGGAAGUGGGAGACAGAGAUGGGAUAUGUGGAAACUGUCUGUACAUUUGCUCAAUUUUUUGGUAAACCUAAAAUCUAAAAGAUAAAGUCUACUAAUUAAAAAAAAAAAAGGAAAUGGGAGGGGCAUGCUUUAGUUAUGGAGGCAUUCCUAAAACAUCUUCUCAAGGAGGGUGGGGCCAUCAUUUCAGGGCUUCAGUUUUGCAGGGUAAGGUGUUAAGUCUGUGGUCAGAACUAAAUAGUUUAUCUUAAGGAAAACUGAACGCAUAGUAAAGGGUGUUGGUUCCACGGGGCACCAAAUGCUUUGCCCAGGUGAUGGGGUCUCUGUGGUCCCCAAACUUGAGGUGAUGGAAAAGGAGUUCUGGUCCAUCAUCCCUGCUCUUGGCUCAGCUUCACCAGCGGCUCUUUUGGGUGGAGCUUGAUGGGAUCCCAUCAUUUGGGCUCAGAGGGCAGCUGCACCAAGACAAGGACUCACAGAGGCUAGGGGCAACCUCCUUUCCAACCUUCGGCUCCUUCUCAUGCUGGGAGAAGGGUCAUUGGGAACCCACCUAAGAAAGAUUCCAUCCUGGAUAAAAGAUGAUUUUUGGCAUGGGUUUUUAAGAAUUUGAAGGUCCUACAAAGGGUUUCCAUGGACUUUUUCAGUGAAUGGGGGACAUGAAAGCUAGCAUCGUGACCUGUCUUAUUGGAGAUUAUCUGUUUAAUACUUAUUCCUCGAUCACAAUGAGAAGUUUCACUCAGUUUUGGAACAAAUUAAAUAAAUAGCUGGUUCUUUGUUUAUUCACAUUUUAACAGAUUUCCUAAGGAGCUCAAAGCUCUUCAUAAAUACAAAGUUAUUCAGUAAAUGACAUUCAAGCUGUCCUGUAAAAUAGGCAUGUGUUUGAUUAAAAAAUACUUUCCGCCGCCAUACCUGCAAAAUAAAUAAGUAAAUAAAAAAAGAUAGCAAUGUUAAAUUUGAGAAGGGCUAUUUAUUUUCACAUUAUAAAAAAUAGCCUGAAUAGAAAUUCACAUGAUUGUUCCCAUUUCAAAAGAUUAAAAAUUUCCAUUUUUGCAUGUUAUCUUUUUUUGACUCAUAAAUUAGCUCAUAUUUCCUGCGAGAUUUACUCAUACUAAAGACAGUCUUCCCCUUCUACUUGGCUAUUGAAAAAGACCAAAAAGAGAGAGGGAUGGAGGGGCAGGGCAGAGAAAGAGAACCACAGUGGCGAAUUCAAAUAUAAAAUAAAGUCACACGUGGAAAAUCAUAUUUAAGUUGUGGGGUUAUAGAGUAGAAAAAUUUUCCAGUGGUAAGUAGGGUAGUAUAUAGUUUGGCACAUUUAAUUUUAAAAGUUUUGCCCUAAAUCACAUUAAAGCGGUGCAAGAUUGAGACUCUGCAUCCUGUCAGUUACCAGUUCCUCCACUCACAAGAAGGAUCUCUUCCUGCUGCCAGUCUCCCUGGAAGGUACUCCCCUCAGGCUUUCGUCCCCAUCACUGCUCUGAAGGAACUCUGUCAGCGUCCCCAGGGACUCCCAUGCUGCUAGAGCCCAAUACUCGUCGUGUGGUCACCUUGCCUGCCUGUGAGCAGAGCUUGGCGUAAUGAAUCACUCUCUCCUUCCCCUCGAGGCAUUUGGCUUUAGCUCACCCCUGCCUAGCGCUGACCUCUUCUCAGUGUCCUCAGCCAGUCCAUCCCCGCUGGCUCUCUCAAGGCUGGUGCACCUCACAGCUCAGUCACUUUGCCUCUUCUCCGCUUGUCGCAUCUCCUCCUCCAGCCAUCUCCUGGUCGCUGCAGUACUUCUCUGGGAGGAAACACCUAUUAAUGUGCCUUGACCUCAACAUGUCAGAAACUGAAAGUUUUCUUCUCUCUAUUCCUACACCCACGCUCCCUUCCGUAAAUGGCAACUCUCUUUUUCCAGUUAUUUGAACCAAAAUCUUGGUCCUCUAU
rnacentral:lncRNA from 1 species